AGAUAUGGUCUGUGUAUUUCUCAGGGUAGGAUUAGGUCUGGUUACUUGGUCUGCACACAACACUCAUGAGUCGGACAGAUUCCUCUAUAAUGAAGCUACAAGCCCCCUCUAUGCACUCAUCUUGGGAACAAGUCAAGUCAGUACUGAGGUGGUUCCUGAGAUCUUGUAAAUAGACACAGCAUUUUGAGGAGGAGUCCUGCAUGUGCUGUCUGAGGAUUUGUGUCCUCUCUUUCAUUCCUUUGAUCAUCUGUUUACGUUGCUGUGGAUGGUUUUUUCUCCUUGUCUUCUUUCCUGUAUGGGGAGACAUGAGUUCCUCACCCUCUCAUUUUCUUUCUCCUUGAAAAAAGUCCUAUAAAUGUUUCUUUUAAGUUGUAUGGCAUCACACAAGCUGGCCUGGAAUUCAAAGUGAUCCUCUGGUUUCAGCCAUCCAGGUCCUGGAAUUGUACAUGGGAAACUUGUCUCCAUCUUCUCCCUGGCCUCCAAGUGAUGAACUUUCCUUGUUCUUUUAUAUCCCACUUUGGAUGUUUUACUUCACCACAGGACCAGAAAUGCUGGAGUUAGUGACCAUGCACUAAAUAAUCUGAAAGCAUAAGUUCAAGAAUUUUCCCCCUCUACCCAUAUCUUCGAGGCUUUCCCCUACUUUCUCCUCUAUAAGAUCAAAAAUUCAGGUGACAGCAGAUGCUGGCGAGGAUGUGGAGAAAGAGGAACACUCCUUCAUUGUUGGUGGGGUUGCAAGCUUGUACAACCACUCUGGAAAUCAGUCUGGCAGUUCCUCAGAAAAUUGGACAUAGUACUACCAGAGGAUCCAGCAAUACCUCUCCUGGGCAUAUAUCCAGAAGAUGUUCCAACCGCAUCUAUGUGACGAACGGAAAAAAAUUCAUCUUCAUCGUUGCUGAAUACUGACUGAGGCUGAACGUGGCUGCUUCCCCGCUUCCUACACUCACUUGUGAAGACUGUAUACUGUGUACAUCUUAAGGGCACCACUACCUGGACACAAUCCAGGGCCAUGCAGUUCUGAGCAUUAGAGGAUAUAAGACACUCUAUAUAAUCGGUGAUUUCGUUUGGAGCUAAUUUUACUCACCCUCUCCUUACAGUAGAGAAGUGGGCUUUUAAAUGCAGAAGUGAAUGUGCUCCCUGGCUGCCUUCACUGGGGCUGCAGUGAAUGCUCUUACAGGAACAUGUUUUUAGAAUCCAACAGCUCUACACUCAAGAGCAGAGUGUAAAUGAAGUGACAUGGAAUAUUCUGUGCAUAAUGAAUUGGCCAUCUCCUAUUCAUCCUGCUGAUUUGGCAUGGUUUGUUUUUUUUUUUUUUUUUUGAACAUGCACCUGAGAAUUCUGCAUAUUUUCUCUUGAAAUCUUAGAAUAAAGAAUCUGGAAACAAAAGCUG